rnacentral:misc_RNA from 1 species
UGGGAGCAAAGCUUGCUCGCGAUGGCGGCGGCUCAUCCAGAAUUGAUGCCGACUGGCACACCAUUAUCGCGAGCAAGCUUUGCUCCCA